rnacentral:lncRNA from 1 species
AGCUGUUUGGUGUUCUUAGGAAAGGUACUGAGAAGGACUGUGGAAAGUUUAGAGUAGUUGAGCCUGCAAGUAUUCCACGUUAGCCAGGCCUGACGGUGCACACCUGUAGCUCCGGCACUGGGGAAGCUUGGGAAAGAGGAUGAAGAACUCAAGGAGACAGGCUGGAGUGCUAGCUCAGCAGAAAAAGAGCACUUGCUGCAGAGAAUCUGGGUGCAGUUCCCAGGGCCCACAUGGCAGCUCACAGCCAUGCAUAACUCCGCUCCAGGGGAUCCAGGGUUCUGGCUUUGAAAGGCUCCAGACAGGCUCAUGGUGUGCAGACACACAUGCAAGCAGAACUCUCAUACACAGAAACCUGGAAUCUUUAAAGUUCAUGGAGAGCUG